rnacentral:rRNA from 1 species
UGCGUAGGCGGAAUAUUAAGUCAGUAGUGAAAUCCUGCAGCUUAACUGUAGAACUGUUAUUGAUACUGGUUUUCUUGAAUAUAGUUGAGGUAGGCGGAAUGUGUAAUGUAGCGGUGAAAUGCUUAGAUAUUACACAGAACACCGAUUGCGAAGGCAGCUUACUAAGCUAUGAUUGACGCUGAGGUACGAAAGCGUGGGGAGCGAACAGGAUUAGAUACCCUGGUAGUCC